UGGCUGAAGGGGGGGGGGUCCCGAGGGAGAACUUGGGGGACAAAGGAAGCCACGGAGGGGUGUCACUUGGGACAGGGAAGGGCGUUUCUGCCGAGAUGCUCAGUACCGGUGGGUGUGGGGCCGCUGUGGGGAUUUGAGGAAAACUGACAGUGGGGAAAACCCGGAGUUAGGCAAGCCAUGAGGUGUUGACCCUGCUCUGAGAAGAUGCCAGGAAGUUCCACAGAAGCAAUGCCAAGUCUGGGCUACAGAGGCGGCGAGGGAACGUGCUACCCCCUGACUGAGGCAGGGUUGGGGUGAGAGGUCUGAGGCCAGAGAGGAAGGAGGCCGGGAAGAUUCCAGAUUUGGGAGAGUGGGAGGAAUUAGCGGGCGGGGGGCUGCACGGGGGUGGCUUGGAAGAAAGGUGGAUGGAGAGGAGGAACGUGAACCAGUUGGAAAGUCUGUAUGAACUUCCUCCGGAUCAAGUCCCUGUACCUGUGAGUGACCUAAUCUGGGGACCAGACCUACACCGUGGUUUAGCAUUCACAGAGUUGGUUAAAUGACAUCCCUGUCAACGAGUGCCAGAAACAUGUCCGAGGUGAGCAUUCACUACAGAGCGUGGACCUGUGGAGGUGGAAAUAGAAAUGAGCACACUAUUAAAAGAAAAGGAAAACAAAGAUAAAAGAGCUCAGACGAACAUGUGGUCGAGCAUUAAAUUUGCCUCGAAGAUGAUGUUCCUCUGCAUGGAGGGGUUUGGUGCCACUGGGAACCCCUCUGUGAGCACUUCCCAAGCAAGGCUUGCCCCACUCACUCCCCCCCCCCCAUCCCCCAGGCUUCUGUGAGUGAGUGGGAGUUGCCCAUCCCCAGAAGCCUUGCCCCCUGGGCACAGCUCUGGGACCAGCAGACAUGCCUGGGCUAUUUGGAGCCACACCAGCCCUACGACCCCAGGACCUUGGUGCCUUACUGUCUGAUGCUCACUGAUCCAUCCGGGGUGAGGCAGCAAGUAGUCAAGUCAACUCUGAAACCUAAAAAAGCCCCGUGGAUACACACACACACACACACACACACACACACACACACACUACAUGAUUAAUGAUUAUUUCCUCUAUUUAAAGGAAAAUAGCAGCCAGCAGGACCGCACGUAUGUCACAGAAUUACUUGAAAUUUGAAUUUCCCCAGGAAAAACACUAGAAAUUCAGGCUCACCCUAACUUCCUGAUAUUAGUACAGGCUUCGCUUUCAGUAUUAUUUUCUUUUGGCUUGACUCCCAACAUUCUGCUUAUUCACACUCAGGCCAGGGAGCUCUUCCCUUUUUUUUUUUUUUUUAAAUUGAGAUAUAAUUGACAUAUACCAUUGUGUAAGUUGAGGGUGUACAGCGUAUUGAUUUGAUAUGUUUAUAUUGCAAAAGGAUUGCCGUUGCAAGGUUAGCCAACACCUCUGUUCCCAUCACGCGACCAUCAUUUCUUCUACUAGGAGUGGGAACAAUUCAGAUCUACUCUGCCAGCAAGUUCGAGGUUUAUUGUACAAUUUUGUUGCCUCUAAUCACUGUACUGUGUGUUAGAUCUCCAAGGCCAUGGGAUUCCAGAAACUUCUAAAUUGGUAGGAAGGAAUGGUUUGGAGGUCUGAAGCGGAGGCAAGAGGAGAGUUUCGUUACCAUUCCACUGGCUGGAACCAUAAUAGGGUCUCUUCGCUAUUUGUGAAACCUCACCACAUUCUGUGGCUUUGGCAUGUGGCUCACAAACCUUACUUGAGUUCUUUAUCGCUGUCAUUUAACCCCGAUUUCAGUCUAAGAGAGUAACAAACUAGAACUCUUGUUUUCCUAUACACACAGAUCACUCAUCUAUUCAAUUCGUCUUUUCCCCAAAUAUGUAUAUGGAGUGCCUGGCGUGUGCCCAGCGCCAUCCUGGGUGAACAAGGUGAACAUCAAUGAACGAGGUAGGCAAACAUCCUGAAUUUCACGGAGCUUACGUGCUACAGACAAAAGCAGAAUACGUAAGUAAAUUGUAGGGUAGUGGCAGAGACGUGCUAGAGGGAAAAAGCGGGAAAGAGGGUAGGAAGGGCCAGGGGGGUGCAAGAGUUCACAUUUUACACAGGAUGGUUCAGAGAAAGCUUGGCAACAGGUGUGCACAGGAGCGGCACAUGAUGGGGCCCGAUAACUAAUGCUCGCGAUCUCAUUUUUCCCUCGUUACUAAGGGACGUUGGAAAGCACAUGAUUCAAUCGGUUGCAGUCAUACCAUCUCGAAUCUCAGCUCUGAAUCUCAGCCUUGGGAGGGAAGGCACCUUCCAAGGGUGUUCCUUCUGGGAACUAAACUGAACUAAAAAAUCUGUUCCAAGCACCCGAAACCUCUUCCUGUGCCUUCGAACGCCCACCGCCACCGCCCACACUUACGCUCAGGAGGCGACCCCAUCUCUGUUUUUGUCCACCCCCUGGGCUCCGGCUUCAAAUGCAUGGUGGCAUCUCCAUUCUUCCCUCCUCCAUAGAAAGAGUUGUUCCUCUGAUAGUAAAGGUUCAUUUCUCCUCCUGCACUCUGAUCGCCAGCAGCCGGAAUCUAUUAGAUUCUUCGCGAUAUUGAAAGGCUCUGGUGUCUCCCUUAAAGGUUUUUUUUUUAAUGUUUAUUUAUUUUUGAGACACAGAGAGAGACAGAGCGUGAGCGGGGAAGGGGCAGGGAGAGAGAGAAAGACACAGAAUCCGAAGAGGCUCCGGGCUCUGAGCUGUCAGCACAGAGCCCGACGCGGGGCUCGAACUCACGGACCGUGAGCUCACGACCUGAGCCGAAGUCAGACACUUAACCGACUGAGCCACCCAGGCGCCCCUGGUGUCUCCCUUAAAUAAAGACUGUAAACCCAUCUUUCCCAAUGUUUACAACGGCACUGUCAACAAUAGCCAAAUUAUGGAAAGAGCCUAAAUGUCCAUCGGCUGAUGAGUGGAUAAAGAAGAUGUGGUUUAUAUCUACAAUGGAAUACUACUUGGCAAUGAGAAAGAAUGAAAUCAUGCCGUUUGCAGCAAUGUGGAUGUUACUGGAGGGCAUUAUGCUGAGUGAACUAAGUCGGUCAGAGAAAGACAGGUGUCAUGUUUUCACUCAUAUGUGGAUCUUGAGAAACUUAGCAGAAGACCAUGGGGGGAGGGAAGGGAAAAAAAUAGUUACAAUUAGAGAAGGAGGGAGGCAAACCAUAAGAGACUCGUGAAUACAGAGAACAAACUGAGGGUUGACGGGGAGGGAGGGGUAACUGGGUGAUGGGCAUCGAGGCGGGCACCUGUUGGGAUGAGCACUGGGUGUUGUAUGGAAGCGAUGAAUCAUGGGAAUCUACCCCCAAAACCAAGAGCACACUGUAUAUACCGUAGGUUAGCCAACUUGAUAAUAAAUUAUAUUAAAAAAACAAAAAUUUAAAAUAAAAAAAAAAAACAGAAAAAAAAUAAACCCAUCCUUAACCCCACACCCCGCUCUAACGACAUACCCUCCCUCUUCUUGGGGAGCCUUCAUUCGUCGUCCAAACCCACUCUUCCUACAUUAUCAUCGUUCACUCCCCACUCAGUCCCCUCCAGCCUGGCGUCUGUCUCCACCAUUCCCCUGAGAUCGGCCUCCCCAGGGUCACCAACAGCCUCCCGUGGAGAAAUGUCAUCCACUGCUCUGUGAAGCUGGGGCAGCUGACGCAUCGCGUGCCGGUGAGUGGGAGGUGUCCACUCUCCCCCUACUCGCGAUACGGUGGACAACACGUAGGCACCGUUACCUCCUGGGCUGCCCCAGCUGAAGCCACGCUUGGAGUUUCUGAAACCCUCACGCAAUCUAAAAAGACAUCUGCACAGGCCUUUCCAGUAAAGGUGGCAGAGGGAAGCAGGGUCACGGCCUCUCCCCCCAUCGGUACCUUAUAAAAUGACCACACGACAGCUUCACCAGCAAAAAUUCUCAAAA